rfam:Picea glauca, whole genome shotgun sequence.
GUAACGGUGUCUUUAGACACCACAUUCUUUCUUCAAAAAAUUGUUU